rnacentral:rRNA from 1 species
GAUGAACGCUGGCGGCGUGCCUAAUACAUGCAAGUCGAGCGAAUGGAUUAAGAGCUUGCUCUUAUGAAGUUAGCGGCGGACGGGUGAGUAACACGUGGGUAACCUGCCCAUAAGACUGGGAUAACUCCGGGAAACCGGGGCUAAUACCGGAUAACAUUUUGAACCGCAUGGUUCGAAAUUGAAAGGCGGCUUCGGCUGUCACUUAUGGAUGGACCCGCGUCGCAUUAGCUAGUUGGUGAGGUAACGGCUCACCAAGGCAACGAUGCGUAGCCGACCUGAGAGGGUGAUCGGCAACACGGGGAGUGGGACACGGCCCAGACUCCUACGGGAGGCAGCAGUAGGGAAUCUUCCGCAAUGGACGAAAGUCUGACGGAGCAACGCCGCGUGAGUGAUGAAGGCUUUCGGGUCGUAAAACUCUGUUGUUAGGGAAGAACAAGUGCUAGUUGAAUAAGCUGGCACCUUGACGGUACCUAACCAGAAAGCCACGGCUAACUACGUGCCAGCCGCCGCCGUAA